AGCGAACGCUGGCGGCAGGCUUUACACAUGCAAGUCGAACGGUCCUUCGGGAUAGUGGCGGACGGGUGAGUAACACGUGGGAACGUACCCUUAGGUUCGGAACAACACAGGGAAACUUGUGCUAAUACCGGAUGAGCCCUUCGGGGGAAAGAUUUAUCGCCUUUGGAGCGGCCCGCGUCUGAUUAGCUUGUUGGUGAGGUAAUGGCGCACCAAGGCUACGAUCGGUAGCUGGUCUGAGAGGAUGGCCAGCCACACUGGGACUGAGACACGUGCCAGACUCCUACGGGAGGCAGCAGUGGGGGAUCUUGCGGAAUGGGCGGAAGCCUGACGCAGCCAUGCCGCGUGGAUGAUGAAGGUCUUAGGAUUGUAAAAUCCUUUCACCGGGGACGAUAAUGACGGUACCCGGAGAAGAAGCCCCGGCUAACUUCGUGCCAGCAGCCGCCGUAAAAC
rnacentral:rRNA from 1 species